AGCACAGCAUCAUCCUCCGGACACAGUUAUCUGUCAGAGUUCACGCUUGUAUCGAGAAACUCUACAACUCAAAUGGACGAGAGCUGAGGAGAGCCCUGUUUUCCCUCAAACAGAUCUUUCAGGAUGACAAGGACCUGGUCCAUGAGUUUGUGGUGUCUGAAGGACUGACAUGUCUAAUCAAGGUCGGAGCUGAAGCAGACCAGAACUACCAGAAUUACAUCCUCAGG